rnacentral:rRNA from 1 species
GACGAACGCUGGCGGCGUGCUUAACACAUGCAAGUCGAACGGAAAGGCCCUGCUUUUGUGGGGUGCUCGAGUGGCGAACGGGUGAGUAACACGUGAGUAACCUGCCCUUGACUUUGGGAUAACUUCAGGAAACUGGGGCUAAUACCGGAUAGGAGCUCCUGCUGCAGGGUGGGGGUUGGAAAGUUUCGGCGGGUGGGGAUGGACUCGCGGCUUAUCAGCUUGUUGGUGGGGUAGUGGCUGACCAAGGCUUUGACGGGUAGCCGGCCUGAGAGGGUGACCGGCCACAUUGGGCCUGAGAUACGGCCCAGACUCCUACGGGAGGCAGCAGUGGGGAAUAUUGCACAAUGGGCCGAAGCCUGAUGCAGCAACGCCGCGUGCGGGAUGACGGCCUUCGGGUUGUAAACCGCUUUCGCCUGUGACGAAGCGUGAGUGACGGUAAUGGGUAAAGAAGCACCGGCUAACUACGUG